AUUGAACGCUGGCGGCAUGCCUUACACAUGCAAGUCGAACGGUAACAGGUCUUCGGAUGCUGACGAGUGGCGAACGGGUGAGUAAUACAUCGGAACGUGCCCGAUCGUGGGGGAUAACGAAGCGAAAGCUUUGCUAAUACCGCAUCCGAUUUACGGAUGAAAGCAGGGGACCGCAAGGCCUUGCGCGAACGGAGCGGCCGAUGGCAGAUUAGGUAGUUGGUGGGAUAAAAGCUUACCAAGCCGACGAUCUGUAGCUGGUCUGAGAGGACGACCAGCCACACUGGGACUGAGACACGGCCCAGACUCCUACGGGAGGCAGCAGUGGGGAAUUUUGGACAAAGGGCGAAAGCCUGAUCCAGUCAUGCCGCGUGCAGGAUGAAGGCCUUCGGGUUGUAAACUGCUUUUGUACGGAACGAAAAGACUCUGGUUAAUACCUGGGGUCCAUGACGGUACCGUAAGAAUAAGCACCGGCUAACUACGUG
rnacentral:rRNA from 1 species